AACGAACGCUGGCGGCAUGCCUAACACAUGCAAGUCGAACGAGACCUUCGGGUCUGGUGGCGCAUGGGUGCGUAAAGCGUCGGACCGUGCCGUAAGGCACGGGAUAACUCUUCUAAAGGGGUGCUAACACAGGAUAAUGUCCUCGGAUCCAAGAUUCAUCGUGUUUGGAUGAGCACGGGUUGGUCUAACUUGUUGGGAGGGAAAAAGCCUACCACGGAGACGAUCCAUAGCUGGUCAGAGAGGCUGAUCCGCCACUCUCGGACUGAGACCCGGCCGAGACUCCUACGGGAUGCAGCAGUGGGGAAUAUUGGACAAUCGGCGAAAGCCUGAUCCAGCAAUGCCGGGUGAGUGAUGAAGGCCUGAGAGUUGUAAAGCUCUUUUACCCGGCAUGAUAAUGACGGUACCGGGAGAAUAAGCUCCGGCUAACUCCGUG
rnacentral:rRNA from 1 species